rnacentral:lncRNA from 1 species
GUGGAUAAAAGGAAAGUUUACAAGUGAGAAUAGUGGCAUUUUUCUGACAGAUUUCACACCGUUGCUUGUUUUGCAGUUGACUGUGAUUGAAGGUCGAUUAAUCAUCACUGGGCACUCGAUGGGAGGAUCCGUUGCUUCUCUCUUCACCUUAUGCCUGCUAGAAGUCAUUAAUAUAUCAAAACCCAAAUGCCGCCCCAUUUGCAUCACCUUUGGUUCACCCCUCAUAGGCGACUUUGGCCUCCAACACUCCAAUUGGAAUUCUUUCUUCUUGCAUGUAGUGUCCAACCAAGAUCUAGUCCCCGGACUCUUCCUCCCAUCCGGCAGAUCUCCUCCCACAUCCUCCCAUUCACAAACUACUGGUUACAAGCCCUUUGGGACAUAUCUCUUGUGCUCUGAACUUGGUUGUGCUUGUUUUGACAACCCUGAUUUAAUUUUGGAAUUGCUGAAAGUCAUAUCAUCAGAGGUUGCCGGAGGAUUGCGGGAUGUUGAUUACAGGAAGAUUUUAAUAAACCUCAAGGAGAGGGCAAUCUUCAAGGGACUUCAGCAGGUGGGUGAAAGGUUUGCAGAUCCCUUGUCAGCUGGGAUCGUCAUGGACCUUGAGAUAAUUGGAUUUGAUCAAACAAAGGUAAACAGCUUUCUCCCAAUUAAUGAUGUAGUAUGGUUUACACUCAACUUCACCAAAACCUGCAACAACUGCCCUAUUUAGAUUUGCCUUCCUGUUCUUUGGGUUCUUCUAUAACUUCUCAUUUUUUAAAUUCAUGGCAGCUGUUGCGGCACAACAUUGAUAUCAACACUGUGAUAAGGAUACUGGGAGUGGAAGCCAGAAUCCUAGCCCACAAAAAUAAAGCUUCUGAUGCCAAGAAACUGAAUGACAUAAAAAUACACAUGGCCCAGCUAGAAUGGUAUAAGAAGAAAUCAAAAGAUCUGAACAAGGGUUACUACGACUGCUUCAAAAACCAGGGGUCAAAAAGGGACAUUAAAAUUGAACAGUAUAGGGGACACCUCACAAUAUACUGGAAAGACAUGGUUGCACAAGUACAGAGGAAGCCCCAGAAGGAAGGAGCAUCAUUUCGAACCAGUUGGCUCUAUCCAGGGACAACUUAUAGAAGAAUGGUUGAACCACUGGACAUUGCUGCCUUCUACAGAGAGGGUAGAACAGACUACAUAAACAAUGGAAGAUCUCCUCAUUACAAGCUGUUGCAGCAAUGGUAUGAGGAAGAUGUGAAGCCCCCAUCCAGAGAUAAGCUCGAUUCCAAGAAACUAAAGGUGUCUGGUAUCCUAACUGAGGAUUCUUUGUUUUGGGCACAUGUGGAGGAGGCUCUCUUGUCAUGCGAAUCGCUCAAGAGUGCAAACUCUACUCUUGAGCAGAGAAAAUCAUCAUGGGAUAAUCUGGUUAAGUUUGGGGAGUAUGUAAUGGAACAGAUUGGAAACUAUGCAGUGUCCCCUGAGAUUUUCUUGGGGGAAAGCAGCUUCAUGAAAUGGUGGGGAGUGUAUGAGGACUACAUAGAUGCUUCCAAUAAUUCCUAUGGGUCACCAUUGAUCAGCUUUAUGAAGAACCGUAGUUAUAGACUGUAUGGUUAGAGGGCAAUCCAGUUUGUGUAUUGUGUUUAUUGUAUUGUGAGCAUUCAAUAGAUAAAACUAGAAAGAGCGUGACCUUUUUAUGACAACUUUAGAAACCAGGGGUUAAAAGAGACAUUACAAACUGAAGUUUUUGAGAGGAAACCUCAAGAGUAUACUGGGAAGCCAUGGUGGAACAAGUAGAGAGGAAGCCUCAGAAGGAAGGAGCAAUGGUUGAACCACUUGACAUUGUUGCCUACUACAGGGAGGGUGUAAGAAACAACAUAACCGAGGGAAGAUCUGAACGUUAAACGUUGUCCAAUUAUUAUAAAUGUCUUAUACAUUACGUGUGAAAAUACCAAAAAAAAUUAUAUUCAACAUUUAUGUUUGUAUACAAGCAAUAUUUUGGAUAGUUUGAUAUAAAAAACAAAUGAAGAAAAUGAAGAAAAACAUACAAAUAUAUUUACAAUGGACAAACUUAUACAAUUAGUAUAAAUGUCUUGUAUAUUUAGUACAAAUGUCUCGUACUUUGUAAAAAUAUAAAAAUAUAGUAUUUGACUUUUAUAUAUGUGUGAAAAUGUAAAAAGAAAAAGAAAAAUAGUUAGAGCAUUUGGUACCGUGAGUGAUGACUUCACCUAAAGAAAGGUUAAUGAAUAUUAUGGUCUCGAUGGAAGAGCGACUCCGGUAAAAUAUAUGGAUUAAAUUGAUGCUUUUCUUUUGACGAUGAAGUAGUUGAGUUAUGAAUACGAGGUUUUGCUAACAGCAUUGAAGGCAAGGAUUCCCUAAUAUACUCCAAUUCAUAUUCAAUUUGUAGACCUUCAACUAACUACUCUUGCUAACGAGCAUAUCCAAGUCAAUACAUAAGAUUAAUUAAGAUUAAGUAUUACGUAUGAUAAUUGAAACCCUAUUUAAAUAAAUAAUGACACAUAUAUAAAAAAUAUAUAUAUUUUUAAAAAAAUAAAUAACAAUUUAGAGAAUUUCAUAACUUAGCAUCAAACCUAUUGUAAGAAAGAGUAUUAUACAAUGUAGGGUUUAGGAUCCAAGUCAACCUAAGAUCAAAUUUAAGUUUUAAGAUCAAUUCACAUUCAAAACUAAGGUUUUAAGUUUCAAAAAUAUAUUUCUUAAACCAAUUAAAUGGAAAAAAGAAAAUUACAAAGAAAAUUUCUCCCUCAUCAGUUUCUUUUAUCUUGAAAACUAAAGGAAAUAUAUAUCAAUAUUUGAGAUGGAAAUUCAUAAUCUUAGGUGGUGUUUGUUUUUUUGGCUUUUUGCUGAAAACUAUUUAGUUUUAGAAUUUAGGUUUUUUUUUUUUUUUACUUUUUCAUGACUUAUAAUAAACUUUUUACUAAAUAGAAAAAACCAAAAUAUGUGGUUUUUUCUAAAUAGAAAAAAUAACACAAUGGUUUUUUUUACUUUUUAAUACUUAAUAGAAAUAAAAUACUACAAAAACAAACAUCUUAAUAUUUAAUACUAUUAAGUAUUAAGGUUCUAUUUAGAAUUAAGUAAAAAAACAAACACCACCUUAGAAACACAAAGAACAAAGAGAGUAUGAAGAGACCAUACCAUGAGAGAUUUUCCGAAAGGUUGGUAAACCAUGGUAAUCACCUUUGAGUCUUGCUGAGAAAAACAAACCUUAUUUAUUUUUAUUUUUUUAUCAUUUUUUCUCUUGUGUGGUGUACAUUUAAGAAAAACAAAUCUCAAAAAAAAAAAAAAACACAAACCAAAUAAUGCCAGAAUUUGGGUUGAGAAACACCCAAAAGAUAGUGGCCCAAUACAUGUGCCUAAGAAAAUCUUCAUGAGCCGAUAAACAUAGUCACAAAACUAGUAACAGCCUUGUAGCCAUAGUUGGUGUAGUAUGAGCAAGUGGGGUAUGAAGUAGGUAGGUGAGUAUUGCAAUGAAAUUUCCAGCACUGCUUCCUGAAUUAAGAAAUCACAUACCCAAGUCUUAGUCGUCGUCGUCGUCGUACCGUGUGAGAACCGGGAAGAAUCUUUGCUCGUAGACUGGCUUUUGUAGUCUUUCUUUAACAAUUACAAGUUAUCUGAAUUCCCUUCAUCCUCCUAUAUAAUAUUGUUUUGGUCUUGUUCUUGUUGCAUUGUGGCUAGGCAUCUCCAUGGAAGGAAGGAGGAUGAAUCAAGUUCCUUUGUAUGAAUCAAUUUCUCUGCUCUUUUUUUUUUUCAAUCCUUGAAUCGAAUCAUUGCUUAGUUCUUGCUUUAAUUUCUCCAUUUUCUGUUGGGUCUUUGAUUGCAGGUUUAGCUCUGCAAGAGAACUGGGAAAUUUAAUUGUGACCUCCAAUCUAAUCGACUCUGCUUUGACUAAAAUUCUUGAGCUUCAAAGAGACCAAACAGCCUUGCUUUCCCCCGUUCAAUACAGAGUUUUUUUAUCCAUCUCCCAACUGCACAAUUGUAGCUUUUGUCUCUUCACCUGACUGCACUCAAAACCCUCUUCCUGGACAAGGAGAUUUAGUUCCCUCUCCUCUCUUUGACUUCCUCUGCACCGAAGAAUACAAGUCCGUCUCCAUUAACAGAGCUGCAUUAACCCUCUUUACCUCUCUCCACGAUCAUCUCUCUGGACUAAAAACUCAGGUCAAAAUAUGAUAGUUGUUUUUAUUUUCGUUUCCUUUUUGUUAACAAUUGUGAGACAUGAAACAGCUUGACCAUGAGAUCUCUCUCAUAGAGUCAAACUACCUGAAGAAGAAGAAGACGUUACACAUAUCCAUCUGCGUUGCAUCAUCGCAUUACCCAUUGAUCGGUUGUGAUUCAACUCUUAAUAGGAAGACAGUAGAACUGGUGUUGGUAUCUGUUUUUAGAUCAGCUUAUAUGUAUCUUGUUGCUAAAAAGGGAAUGUUUAGAAGUGAGAUUAAUGGGAUUAUUCUGACAUGGAUUUCAUAUGGUUACCUGUUUUGCAGUUGACUGUGAUUGAAGGUCAAUUAAUCAUCACUGGGCACUCCCUGGGAGGAGCCGUUGCUUCUCUCUUCACCUUAUGCCUGCUAGAUGAAAAUUUAUUAAAACCCAAAUGCCGCCCCUUUUGUAUCACCUUUGGUUCACCCCUCGUCGGCGGCUUUGGCCUCCAACACUCCAUAUGGAAUUCUUUCUUCCUGCAUGUAGUGUCUAACCAAGACCCAGUCCCCGGUCUCUUCCUCCCAUCUGGCAGAGGCAGAUCUACGCCCACAUCCUCCCAUUCACAAACUACCGGUUACAAGCCCUUUGGGACAUAUCUCUUGUGCUCUGAACUUGGUUGUGCUUGUUUUGACAACCCUGAUUUAAUUUUGGAAUUGCUGAAAGUCAUAUCAUCAGAGGUUGCCGGAGGAUUGCAGGAUGUUGAUUAUGGGGAGAUUUUAAGAAACCUCAAGGAGAGGGCAAUCUGCAAGGGACUUCCGCAGGUGGGUGAAAGGUUUGCAAAUCCAUUUUCAGCUGGGAUCAUCAUGGAACUUGAGACAAUUGGAUUUAAUCAAACAAAGGUAAACAGCUUUCUCCCAUCUAAUGAUGUUAUGGAACAUGGUUUACACCUCAUUAAAUACUGCAACAACUGCCCUAUUUAGAUUUACCUUCUUGUUCUUUGGGAUUUUCCAUAACUAGACUCAUUUUUUAAUUUCAUGGCAGCUGCUGCAGCAUAACAUUGAUAUCGAGACUGUGAUAAGCGCAAUGGAAGCGGAAGCAAGAAACCUAACCCAGAAAAAUAAAGCUUCCGAUGCCAAGAAACUGAAUGAAAUAAAAAUAGACAUGACCCGGCUAGAAUUGUAUAAGAAGAAUUCGAACAUGGGUUACUACGAUUGCUUCAAAAACCAGGGGUCUAAAAGGGACAUCCACGUUGAACAGUUUAGGGUAAACCUCACAGGGUACUGGGAAGGCAUGGUUGCACAAAUACAGAGGAAGCCUCAUAAGGAAGGAGCAACAUUUCGAACCCGUUGGCUCUAUGCAGGGACGGUUUAUAGAAGAAUGGUUGAACCACUGGACAUUGCUGCCUUCUACAGAGAGGGUAGAAAAGACUACAUGAAUAAAAGAUCUGCACAUUACAAGCUGUUGCAGGAAUGGUAUGAGGAAGAUGUGAAACCCCCCUCUAGAGAUAAGCUUGAUUCCAAGAAGCAAAAGGUGUCCAGUAUCCUAACUGAGGAUUCUUGCUUUUGGGCACAUGUGGAGGAGGCUAUCUUGUCAUGCGAAUUGCUCAAGAGUGAAAACUGUAAUCUUGAGGAGGGAAAAUCAUCAUGGGAUAAUCUGGUUAAGUUCGAGGAGUAUGUAAUGGAACAGAUUGACAACUAUGCAGUGUCCCCUGAGAUUUUCUUGGAGAAAAGCAGCUUCAUGAAAUGGAGGGGACUGUAUGAGGGCUACAUAGAUACUCGCAGUAAUUCCCAUAGCUCGCCAUUGAUCAGCUUUAUGAAGAAUCGUAGUUAUAGACAAUAUGGAUAGAGGGGUAAUCCAGUUUGUGUGUUGUGUGUAUUGUUUUGUGAGCAUUCAAUGGAUAGAACUAGAAAGAGUGUGACCUUUUCCUUUUUUUUUUCAGUUGCUGCCCAUAUUCUCAGCACUAUUUUCUUCCUUCUUUUCCUCAGUUUUUUUGUUAAGAAAUGAAUAUUAUGAUGUUGCCGGGAUGCACUUUCAUUUUUGUUCCAUUACAUUGUGUUUUAUUCAUAUCCUAAACAAAUAAAUGUAAACAAGAAAAUCAAAUGAGACUUCAAAGAGUCUGUUCCUUUUAAAGCAAGGGAAAAAAAGGACAUGUUUGUUUACUUCCACAGCUGGGUAGAUUCAACUCCACCAAAAUUGGCAACAACUUCCCAUUGAAAAAUUCCUUUUAAGCUUGAAUGACAUAAAACUAGAUAUGUUCCAGCUAGAAUGGUACAAGAAAGAAAUCAAAAGAUGAGCACAAUGGGUUAUUAUGACAGCUUUAGAAACCUGGGGUGUAAAAGAGACAUUAAAAUGGAACCGAGGGGAAGACAUUGUAGAACAAGUAAAGAGGAAGCCUCACCAGGAAGGGCAGCUUUGCAAACCCUCUGGCUCUGUACAGGAACGAAUUAUAGAAAGAUGGUUGAACCACUUGACAUUGCUGCCUACCACAGAGAGGGUGGAAGAAACUACAUAACCAAUGGAGGAUGUAAACAUUACACGCUAUUAGAGCAAUGAUGCAAUGAAGAGAAGGGGACUUUGUCUUCCAAUAAUUUAAGAAAAUAAAACCAAAUAAUGCCAGAAUUUGGGUUGAGAAACACCCAAAAGAUAGUGGCCCAAUAUGAAGUAGUCACAAAACUAGUAACAGCCUUGUGGCCAUAGUUGGUGUAGUAUGAGCAAGUGGGGUAUGAAGUAGGUAGGUGAGUAUUGCAAUGAAAUUUCCAGCACUGCUUCCUGAAUUAAGAAAUCACAUACUCAAGUCUUAAUCGUUGUCAUCAUACCGUGUGAGAACCGAGGAAGAAUCUUUGCUCUUAGACUGGAUUUUGUAGUCUUUCUUUAACAAUUACAAGUUAUCUGAAUUCCCUUCAUCCUCCUAUAUAAUAUUGUUUUUGGUCUUGUUCUUGUUGCAUUGUGGCUAGGCAUCUCCAUGGGAGGAAGGAGGAUGAAUCAAGUUCCUUUGUAUGAAUCAAUUUCUCUGCUCUUUUUUUUUUCAAUCCUUGAAUCGAAUCAUUGCUUAGUUCUUGCUUUAAUUUCUCCAUUUUCUGUUGGGUCUUUGAUUGCAGGUUUAGCUCUGCAAGAAAACUGGGAAAUUUAAUUGUGACCUCCAAUCUAAUCGACUCUGCUUUGACUAAAAUUCUUGAGCUUCAAAGAGACCAAACAGCCUUGCCUUCCCCCGUUCAAUACAGAGUUUUUUAUCCAUCUCCCAACUGCACAAUUGUAGCUUUUGUCUCUUCACCUGACUGCACUCAAAACCCUCUUCCUGGACAAGGAGAUUUAGUUCCCUCUCCUCUCUUUGACUUCCUCUGCACCGAAGAAUACAAGUCCGUCUCCAUUAACAGAGCUGCAUUAACCCUCUUUACCUCUCUCCACGAUCAUCUCUCUGGACUAAAAACUCAGGUCAAAAUAUGAUAGUUGUUUUUAUUUUCGUUUCCUUUUUGUUAACAAUUGGGAGACAUGAAACAGCUUGACCAUGAGAUCUCUCUCAUAGAGUCAAACUACCUGAAGAAGAAGAAGACGUUACACAUAUCCAUCUGCGCUGCAUCAUCGCAUUACCCAUUGAUCGGUUGUGAUUCAACUCUUAAUAGGAAGACAGUAGAACUGGUGUUGGUAUCUGUUUUUAGAUCAGCUUAUAUGUAUCUUGUUGCUAAAAAGGGAAUGUUUAGAAGUGAGAUUAAUGGGAUUAUUCUGACAUGGAUUUCAUAUGGUUACCUGUUUUGCAGUUGACUGUGAUUGAAGGUCGAUUAAUCAUUACUGGGUACUCGAUGGGAGGAUCCGUUGCUUCUCUCUUCACCUUAUGCCUGUUAGAAGUCAUCAAUUUAUCAAAACCCAAAUGCCGCCCCAUUUGUAUCACCUUUGGUUCACCCCUCAUAGGCGACUUUGGCCUCCAACACUCCAAUUGGAAUUCUUUCUUCUUGCAUGUAGUGUCCAACCAAGAUCUAGUCCCCGGACUCUUCCUCCCAUCCGACAGAUCUCCUCCCACAUCCUCCCAUUCACAAACUACUGGUUACAAGCCCUUUGGGACAUAUCUCUUGUGCUCUGAACUUGGUUGUGCUUGUUUUGACAACUCUGAUUUAAUUUUGGAAUUGCUGAAAGUCAUAUCAUCAGAGGUUGCCAGAGGAUUGCGGGAUGUUGAUUACAGGAAGAUUUUAAGAAACCUCAAGGAGAGGGCAAUCUGCAAGGGACUUCCGCAGGUGGGUGAAAGGUUUGCAAAUCCAUUUUCAGCUGGGAUCAUCAUGGAACUUGAGACGAUUGGAUUUAAUGAAACAAAGGUAAACAGCUUUCUCCCAUCUACUGAUGUUAUGGAACAUGGUUUACACAUCAUUAAAUACUGCAACAACUGCCCUAUUUAGAUUUAGGGCAAUGAUGAAAAUAUCAGUAAUCACGGAUAUAUCAGUAUUUCGAUUUUACGGAUAUAUCGGAUAUAUCGGAGAUAUAUCGGUAGAUAUUUUGAAAAAAAAUAUCGGCAAGCUUAAAAUUGUUAAAAACUCAUGAAAAUAUAAGAAAAUCUCAUAAUAAUAUAAUUAAAAGUAUAAUAGACAUUUUAAAGUUAUUUUAUUGAAAAUUUUGAUAUAUGUAUAACAUGAUUUAUCAUAUUUGAUAAUAAUAUCGUAUGCGUCGAUAAAAAUAUGAAUUUUAUAAGUGUACAUUUAUUAUUAAAUUACACCUAAUAUUAUGAUAUCUGAUUAUAAUAUGUCUAAUUUUAAAAUAUAUAUUAGUAUUAAAAUAUGAUCCAUUUAAUUCAAUUGUAUUAAACAAUAUAAAAUAAAUAAUGAUAUAUAUAUAUAUAUAUAUAAUUUUUUAAUAUUUAAUUAAUUAUUAAUGAUAUUAAAAACAUUAUGAAGAAAAUUAUAUAAUUUUUUAAUUUUUGGUAAUUAAUUAAAAGACUUUGCAUUUAAUUAUAAAUUAAUUAUAAUUAAUUUACUCUUUAAAAUAUUCUUAUAUUUUCUUUAUAUAAUGAAUUUAAGUAUAUAUAUAGUUGUUGCAUAUUAUAUAUUAAAGGACAACUUAGCCCAAGUGGUAAGCGAGUGAACCCCAAUGUGAGGCAUUGUAGCACGUGCACUGUAGCAUCACUGUAGCGACUCUGACUUUCGUUGACCCGCAUUGACUACACGAUAUAUCGGAGAAAAAUCACUGAUUUAUCGCCAAAUCACCAAUAAAUCGCCGAUUUCUCGCGAUAAAUACCAAAAUAUAGUGUCGAAACCCUUCGAUACACGAUUUUUCGGCGCAUUUUCUUACUUGGAUUUACCUUUUUGUUCUUUGGGAUCUUCCAUGACUCAUUUUUUAAUGCCAUUUUAUUUUCCUUUUUGUUUCUAAAUUUUUAAAAAAUCGUUUUCACUUCUUUUUUUUAAGAAAAUUUUGGCAAAUUUUGAAAAUAUAAUAUUAGUGUUUUCACUUCUUUCUUUUUUUUUUUUUUCUUUUUUUUUUUAAACUCAAUUUUCUAAAAAAUGAAAAUAGAAAAACAUUGUCUAAACAUGUUUGUAAACUUAAUUUUAUUUUUUUAUAAAUGAAAAAAAAAAUCUAAAUGAGUAAGGCUUUAUUAAUUUUAAUUUUUUUCUUUUCCUUAUAUUUUCUUAUUUUAUUCCAAAUUUUCUUGCAACCAAACAUAAUCUAAAUGUUUACAACUUUUAUUGUAAGGAAUGAAUGACACUACUUUGUGAACUUUUAUGAUAAUAUUUUGAAUCAUAAAUUGUGUUUUUUUUAGUAAUAUCAAUUUUAUUACCAAUGACUUAAUUGUUAAUAACAAAAUAUAAUAUUUAUAAAUAUUUUUAUUCUCAACAGGCUACAAUUUUUACUCUUGUGAUAAAAAAAAUUUUGUCAUAAAUUACACAUUAUGAUGAGUUUUUCUAUUUUCCUUAUCAGCCAAUUCAACAAAUAUCAUAUAUAUUGUAAUGGCUAACAAAUUUUCACAUAAAUUUUUUAUAAGAUAAAGUAGAAUGGAAUUAUUCAAUUUCAAAAAAAAAAAAAAUGGUACCUAAUGAAAAAGAUAAAAUAUAUAGAUCAUCUCGAAGAAAUCAGGAAAGAUAAAUGAUGAGACCAUAUAUAGGACCCUUGAUGGAGACUAUUUUAAUUGAAGUGGUGUGCUCCUUCCGACUCAGAACAUGUUCAGCAUUGCACACAAACUAACAUCGUCGAUCUUGAGUAUGAAAAAGGUGAUUAGAUUCCAAGGUUGUCGUUUGUCCCAACUCCUCAUAUUAGAGGUGAUGCUCAAGCUAACGUGCCUCGCAGUUGAGCCCCGGCCAAUCGGUCUAAUAUGCUUUUCCAAUGGUGAGUUUCACUGCCACCAUGUAUUACAUUAAUUCCGAUAGCGCACAAGUUGUGUUUGUGCUAUUGCUUUUUGCCCUCACAAACAUAUACACAAGAGACAUUCAGACCAGAUCUGUUCUACCAUCCUCUAGGAAAGCAUUGUAGGUCAUUUGAAAUUGGGAUUUCAGCACCAGAGUCAAAUUGCCUUCCUUCCUGAAAGAUGAGCAUUUUUUAUACUCUUACAUCGGCUUUUAUGGAAAUGAAAUCAGCUUCUCAUUCUGUUACAUUUUUCAAUUUUGCUGCCUAUAACUGCUCACUGCCUGUUUGUGAGACAUUAUCCAGAUUUUCCCUGAUCAAUUAUAGAGAGGUCAUUGGACUCAUCCAUGAUUGGAAUUUCCUGUUAUCAUUAUUUGCAAAUCAUCAACCAUUUGUCAUGAUAUCUUAAGUUAAGCUGAGCACGAAUUUCAGCUAAGAUCCUCAGAACUAGAAAUAUGCACUGCAGGUAUUACUUGAUAUGUGAAUAUCCAAUACAAUAUUUUUUUACUAAGAGGAAUACGAAUUUGAAACACUUUCCAAUAAUUUAUCAAGUCAUAUUUUCGUGCUGUCGUGAUACAUGUGUCUACUGUAUGCAUGGCUUUUCUUUUCUACACAUGCCUUUAUCUUUGCACAUGACUCUUUUGAUACACGCCAGCAUCAAGGCAAUUGCCUAAAUCUAAAUCACAUCCUUUGUGUCACGUCUUCCUUGUUACCACGGUCCUCUUGUACACCAUGGUCCCUUAAUGUAACUUGUGCCACAAGCCCUUUGUGCAUGAAUUCAAAUUGUUCAAUCAUUUCGCCAUUUACACCUUUUAAGGUCCAAUAAGCGUAUACAAGAGACUACACUCAUUCUAGAUGAUAAAGUACAUUCAACUAACUACUCUUGCUAAUGAGCAUAUCCAAGUCAAUACAUAAGAUUAAUUAUUACAUAUGGUAAUUGAAACCCUGUUUAAAUAAAUAGUGACACAAAUAUAAAAAAUAUAUAUAUUUAAAAAUAAAUAAAUAACAAUUUAGAGAAUUUCAUAACUUAGUAUCAAACCUAUUGUAGGAAAGAGUAUUAUACAAUGUAGGGUUUAGGAUCAAAGUUAACCUAAGAUCAAUUUUAAGUUUUAAGACCAAUUCAAAUUCAAAACUAAGGUUUUAAGUUUCAAAAAUAUAUCUCUUAAACCAAUUAAAUAGAAAAAAGAAAAUUACAAAGAAAAUUUCUUCCUCAUCGGUUUCUUUUAUCUUGAAAACUAAAGGAAAUAUAUAUCAAUAUUUGAGAUGGAAAUUCAUAAUCUUAGAAACACAAAGAACAAAGAGAGUAUGAAGAGACCAUACCAUGAGAGAUUUUCCAAAAGGUUGGUAAACCAUGGUAAUCACCUUUGAGUUUUGCUGAGAAAAACAAACCUUAAUUUUUAUUUUUAUUUUUUUAUCAUUUUUUCUCUUGUGGUGUACAUUUAAGAAAAACAAAUCUUAAAAAAAAAAAAAAAAAAACCAAAUAAUGCCAGAAUUUGGGUUGAGAAACACCCAAAAGAUAGUGGCCCAAUACAUGUGCCUAAGAAAAUCUUCAUGAGCCGAUAAACAUAGUCACAAAACUAGUAACAGCCUUGUAGCCAUAGUUGGUGUAGUAUGAGCAAGUGGGGUAUGAAGUAGGUAGGUGAGUAUUGCAAUGAAAUUUCCAGCACUGCUUCCUGAAUUAAGAAAUCACAUACCCAAGUCUUAGUCGUCGUCGUCGUACCGUGUGAGAACCGGGAAGAAUCUUUGCUCGUAGAGUGGCUUUUGUAGUCUUUCUUUAACAAUUACAAGUUAUCUGAAUUCCCUUCAUCCUCCUAUAUAAUAUUGUUUUUGGUCUUGUUCUUGUUGCAUUGUGGCUAGGCAUCUCCAUGGAAGGAAGGAGGAUGAAUCAAGUUCCUUUGUAUGAAUCAAUUUCUCUGCUCUUUUUCUUUUCAAUCCGUGAAUCGAAUCAUUGCUUAGUUCUUGCUUUAAUUUCUCCAUUUUCUGUUGGGUCUUUGACUGCAGGUUUAGCUCUGCAAGAGAACUGGGAAAUUUAAUGGUGACCUCCAAUCUAAUCGACUCUGCUUUGACUAAAAUUCUUGAGCUUCAAAGAGACCAAACAGCCUUGCUUUCCUCCGUUCAAUACAGAGUUUUUUAUCCAUCUCCCAAGUGCACAAUUGUAGCUUUUGUCUCUUCACCUGACUGCACUCAAAACCCUCUUCCUGGACAAGGAGAUUUAGUUCCGUCUCCUCUCUUUGACUUCCUCUGCACCGAAGAAUACAAGUCCGUCUCCAUUAACAGAGCUGCAUUAACCCUCUUUACCUCUUUCCACGAUCAUCUCUCUGGACUAAAAACUCAGGUCAAAAUAUGAUAGUUGUUUUUAUUUUCGUUUCCUUUUUGUUAACAAUUGUGAGACAUGAAACAGCUUGACCAUGAGAUCUCUCUCAUAGAGUCAAACUACCUGAAGAAGAAGAAGACGUUACACAUAUCCAUCUGCGUUGCAUCAUCGCAUUACCCAUUGAUCGGUUGUGAUUCAACUCUUAAUAGGAAGACAGUAGAACUGGUGUUGGUAUCUGUUUUUAGAUCAGCUUAUAUGUAUCUUGUUUCUAAAAAAGGUAAGUUUAGAAGUGAGAUUAAUGGGAUUAUUCUGACAUGGAUUCCAUAUGGUUACCUGUUUUGCAGUUGACUCAGAUUGAAGGUCAAUUAAUCAUCACUGGGCACUCCCUGGGAGGAUCCGUUGCUUCUCUCUUCACCUUAUGCCUGCUAGAUGGAAAUUUAUUAAAACCCAACUGCCGCCCCUUUUGUAUCACCUUUGGUUCACCCCUCAUCGGCGGCUUUGGCCUCCAACACUCCAUAUGGAAUUCUUUCUUCCUGCAUGUAGUGUCUAACCAAGACCCAGUCCCCGGUCUCUUCCUCCCAUCUGGCAGAGGCAGAUCUACGCCCACAUCCUCCCAUUCACAAAC